GUAGGUGAACCUGCGGAAGGAUCAUUCAUAAUAAGUGUUUAUGGCACUUCUUAAAUCCAUAUCCACCUUGUGUGCAAUGUCAGCCGUUUUCUUUAUGAAAGCGGCCAAACAUCAACUUAUUUUUUAACUGUCUGUCUGAAAACUAUUAUGAAUAAACAAUUCAAAUACAACUUUCAACAACGGAUCUCUUGGCUCUC
rnacentral:misc_RNA from 1 species